UACGAAGGGGGCUAGCGUUGCUCGGAAUUACUGGGCGUAAAGGGCGCGUAGGCGGAUAUUUAAGUCAGGGGUGAAAGCCCGGGGCUCAACCUCGGAACUGCCUUUGAUACUGGAUAUCUUGAGUUCGGGAGAGGUGAGUGGAAUGCCGAGUGUAGAGGUGAAAUUCGUAGAUAUUCGGCGGAACACCAGUGGCGAAGGCGACUCACUGGCCCGAUACUGACGCUGAGGCGCGAAAGCGUGGGGAGCAAACAGG
rnacentral:rRNA from 1 species